rnacentral:rRNA from 1 species
UAAGUCAGCCACGAAUAGGCUAUCCCAACUAACGGCGGGAAAGACUCCACGGAGGGUGUAAGACCCGUGUGGGCGCGUGUCAAUGCUGUGCGGGCUCGGCCUUUUUUCCCUGAGAGUCGCGUUGCUUGAGCAUGCAGCGCUAAGCAGGUCGUAAACUCGAUCUAAGGCUAAAUAUCUCCACAGAACCGAUAGCGAACAAGUACCGUGAGGGAAAGUUGAAAAGCACUCUGGAGAGAGAGUCAAAAGACCGUGAAACCGCUCAGAGUAUAAGCCCAUGGCAGCUUGGAAGGCAUAUCGAAAGCGGGGCAUCGGUCUCCCUUCGCCGGGAGUCGGUGUUACCUUGCUUCUGUUGUGGCUCGUCAAGGUAGGGGGGUCAGGUCCACAUCCCGCCAUCGUGUGGGGGGUUCUUGGGUGUGUUGUGGUUUGUCGGUUGGCUUCGGCUUUCAGGCGGGCUCUUCGUGCUCGGUUCCUCUUUAGACACGGACGUUCAGACUCAGAUGCAAGACGCGAUAAACAGCCCACCACGGCACGUUGUGAGGUCACCCACAGGCUCGAUUUUCGAUUGUGAGCCUUGACGCCGAGCAAGCACAAUGCGUGUCGCAGAGGUUCCUAACCAGGCAACAGAGCCAGGAUCGUGGAACGACACGCGCUCAACAGUCAGGCUCGGGCGGAGACAGAGUUCUGGUACGAUCCUCUUGCGACGAGCCGGCUUCUGGCCAACAUCCGAUGCUCAGGUCUUCCGCAUGUGCCGCGGGAGAUCGUCUUGACGGUCUGGA